UGGUGGGCGUGGGAGAGCAGGCUGCGGCCGGCGAUCUCGCGGAGGCACGCACGGGUGCGGCCACCGCCGGCGGACGCAAAGGAGGAGGCGCGCCUGGCCUAGGUCGGGUGGGAGGAGGUUGCGUGGCAGCGGGCGGCGGACCAAGAUCCGGAUCUCCUGCUCUCUCUCCUCCUGGUCUUCAACGACACACGACAGAUGGGGAGGAUGGCCGGGAGGUGGUGACCUGCUUCCCAAGAAUCCAUGAAGAAGCUGGAGCUUGUGGCACCCUUUUGCUACAGGCCUAGGAACCAAUGGAAGAAGGAAUGGAGGAGAACAGCAGAUGAAGAUGAGUACCAGGACGAUUGGACAAGAGCAACAUCAAUACACAUGUUGCUGGCAGGAGAGUGAUGCAAAUAUCUGCUGGAUUCAUGAUUUCUUCUCUGUCCUAGAGUUCGUGAGUUGGAAAGGAGAUGCUACUAGGCUGCCUGGAAGAUGUAUUCAAAGCUGAAACGCUCUUCACACUGUCUAGGAUGGCGUCCAAGUCAAUUGUUUUCUUUGGUGACCAGGGUAAAAAAAAUGUUCAUGUUUAACUAGGCACGGUUACAGAUGCCAAUAAGCCUGCUGCUAUUGUUUUACAAUUGGAAUUGAUCAACUGGUUUGGUGAUGCUGAGUGCAGAGCUGCAAUUCAUCUUCUUUUCCUCUAGACCGUGCUGAUGCAAAAGAGUUCUCUAUAGCUGUCAUUCUACUUCUAAAGACCGCUAGGAUACCAGGCCAUACGAGACA